CAAAACAGUCGUUGAACAUAUUAUAAUAAUUAAUGUAAUGUCGACAUAGCAUAUCGAAUGUUAAAAACUAAUGCACUUAUGCAUUUUUAAAAAUAUAUAAAGUAAAAGAAUAAAAAUCUAAAAAUUUUAAGAUCGUUUAUAUCGAAACUGCGUUGUUUAUGUCUCGCGUUACAUGAGAGUCACUAUCUGAAUUUUAAGAUCGCAUUAUAUUGAAACUGUGUUCACAUUAUAUUUGGGUUACCUGUGUUUCAAUUGUUAUCCUUAAUUUGUAGUUUUAUUAAAUAUUGCCCAAUAUGAGCAUAUAAGAUAAACAGGUUGUCACGCACUACAGUUAAGUGUUAAAAAAAAAAGAAAAAACAGAAAAGGAAAGGAAAAGGAGACAAACAAAAAUAAUCGAUUUUGGCCACGAUAGAUCUCUUUGCAGAUUUCCAUUAUAAAUCAGAUCAAAGUACACAUUAAAAGUAUAAAAAUUGUUUACGAUUGAUGAUUCGAUCUAAACGAUGCUUAUCGCGAUACGUCGCGUGAAUCUCAUCAAAGAUUGCGUCAUUUUAAAGAACAAAUUCCAAUGAGCAUCGGCGCUCAUUACUUUGCAAAUUGCAUAAUCGUGUACUUCACAAGAAGCAUGCGAAUCAAGUGCGAUCGAUACUCGAAUUUUGAAUUAAUUACUCGGACAAUGAAUUACAUCAUCUCACAUUAUGAGAGACACUUACCUUCAUUUCUAUAAUAAUAGCGGCAAGAAUAAUAAAUUUCUUUCAUCGAGAUAUCGAGUUAAAUAAAUAGCAAAUAUUCGAGAAAUUGUAUGCAAUAAUUGUUUUAUUAUAACACAUUGUCAAUUAACUAAAUAGUUUAUUCAAUACCUGAAAAUUUUGUGUUGUGUUAUGAUAUAAUAUAAUAUAUUAUAAACAAAAAAUUUUUUAAUUUAUAAUAUAAUAUAUUAUAAUAAGAAAGCGAAUAUAUUUGACAGAGAAUUCAUAAAAAAAUAAAUAAAAAUUAUUUGACAGAGAUUUAAUAUUAAUUAAUAUUAAUAUUAAUUAAAACGAAAAUAUCAGGAAACAAAUAAGGAGAUAUCAUGAGAUCACAAGAAAUGAAAUUAUCGAAUAAAUAUUGCCUGCUACGAUUCUUGUUUCUCAAUUGACACGUUUUUUUCUUUUCUAUAUCAGCAUACAUACAUCUUUUUCUGACGUUAUGAAUAAAGGUCAAACGAGAAAGAAAUGAUGCCAAUCAUAGAGUGGGCGAACUAACAAAUAUCAACGAAAGAGAAAUUGUCCCCUGUCUUCUUUCACGCUAGGUGAUGUUGAUGAGUAAUCUUGAUACGUGUCAAUUAUUUAAGAUUUUAUUUCAUAUUUAAUGACUAUAUAUCUUAAAAGGCAGAGGAUAGGCUUCGAAAUAUUUUUCCUCAUACUAUCAUAAUUAUCUGUUAUAAUGCCAAGAAUUAUCCGUAAUUGUUCCCACGAAAUAGAAUAAAUAAUACAGAAAAAGCGGUAGUCGUUAAUUGUUAAACCUUAAUUAUCGGAGAAUUCACGCUUUGCCGUAUCAGUGAUUAUACUUACUAAAUUAAGAAUAUUAUUUUUUCACAUGUAAACAUUCACAAGAAAAAAUUAUUCAUUGUCCAAUCAAAUACAUGUAUUAUCCUGCAUUCGAAUGGAUCGAUAAUAUGAGGAAAAACGCAAGAAAAAAGAGAGAGAAAGAAAAAAGAAAAAUACAUCGUCGUGAAGUUAAGUGUGGGGAAUUUAUUAAAUUCGAGUCAAUUAACUCGAACUGAACGGUCGUUCGCAGUUGUUGCUACUUCUUCGUGGUUGGUCAAUUCGCAUCGCGCGGUACCACCACUUGUCCACUACUCGCGAAUAGCCGAAGGACAUCGAGCUCCCUUCUCCUUCUGUUUGUCUGUCUGUCUCUCUUUUUCCCCUUUUCUUUCCUCUCUCUUCAUCCUAUCUCUUUUUCCUCAUCAUGUCCUUUCGUGAAACACAUGCAUUCUCUAUCCGCGUCAUUAGGUCAUUUACGGUGGAGGCUCGACCAAAGGCUCGACCAAUCAUAUCUCGAGGAAAAUCGAGACGGCGCCGAGUUAGUCCUUUACGUAUACUGUUAUCUACGAAUCUAUUUAUUUCUUAAUAUGUUUCAUAGUAGAUUACGUUAUGUUAUUUUACGAUAAUCAGUACACAUUUUAAAAACAAUAGUAUUCUUUUUGAUUUAUCACAAGUUUUUAUAAAUUCUACACCGACAUAUUUGUGUCCUUGAAACGAACGAUAGAAUCUCGUAAUAUACCUUAGGAAUAUAAUUUAACGAUGAAGGAUAGAAAUGAUCUUGUUGCACGCGACGAGUGACCUUUAACAAUCGACCCGAUCUAUAUCGUUCUUCCUCGUGUAUAUAUAUAUAUUUUUUUUUUCUCAAGCGAUACUUCAUGUUUUCAAACCGUGCAAGUUUUUACCUCUUUGCCUUUGAAUACGAUCUUUUUAUUUAAAGUUAAAAAAACGUUAGUCAUUUCAACAAUAUUGCGAUCAGUCAAAUAAACAUAUGACUGACCUAUUUACGUCAAACUUUGAUCAGUUAUUUUAUCGUUUUCAUGUAUGCAAUUUGUACAUGUAUACAUGCCUACCUAUGUAUAGGUGUGUUAUAUCUCAUACGAGUACUGCAACGACGUGAAAGAGACUCGAUGAAAGAGGCUCGGCUGGAGGCUCGACCAAUCGUAUCGUCGAAAGUUAAAAAUAGACAAUUCGUAGUUAUAUCGUGCUAACAGAAGUUUCGUCGAGUAUUCAACACGAUAUAUGUAAUCAACGUUUUUCGAUAGUUUUAAAAAAAAUAGUACAAAAAAUAGACGUACAUAUCUAUGCGAAUAUUUUAACAGAUGUAUAGAAAAAUUCAUUUUUAACUAAUUUGUGAAUUGUGAAUUGAAUUAAUUCGAACGUAGUCCAUACUAAUUUUAAAACAAAAACUAAUUUUAGAUUUCGUCUAUCUUUUCUAUGUAAACAUGUACACGUGUUAUCUCAAAUACACAUCUCACGUGUCUCACAUGAAUGUCUUUGAUGUUAAGUUCGAAUGACUGAUAUUGAUAUCGUACCAUUAUAAAUGUAAAUUUAAAGUUGAAAUAUAUACCAGUUCGAAAUUUUAAAUGCAUAUAAUCAAAAUCCUAAAGAAAUUGUAUAUUAUUUGACGGUAGAGACCAAAUAUUUUCUUAGAAAUUGUUGUAGAAGAGAUCCAUUAACGGGUUUAAUCUCACCUGAAUAAAAGUAUAAAUCUCGUGUCAACUUGAUCUCUCUCGUUCGGUCUGGACUCAUUCGUUUCCCAUGAUUCGAAUGUAACUGAAGAUCAUAGACGUGAUGGAUCGCGAUCGUUAAAUAUUUUUUGUUAACAUACUUGCUCCUCGUAUACAGUUAGAAGAGAUCGCCUAUCGUAGAAGAUCGAUUUUCUCUUAUAUAAAACAUAGAAGUUGCGGCCAUUAUCUCGCGAGCUUCAUACUUUUCUGAUUCAAGGUUAGUUAUACAAGCGGUAACCAGCAAUUUAAAAUUCGAUAAAAAUGACGGUGAGAAUCCGUGAAAGAAUUCUGCAAGAAAAUUGAUCCUAAGAUGAUCGUGUGAAAGAGAGAAUCUUGUUGGCUAUGUAAUCUAAGAGAGUAAUAGAGAGAUAGAAAGAGAGAGAGAGAGAGAGAGAGAGAGAGGAGAGAGAAGGAGGUGUGGGAGAAGGGGAAAGAAGACGAGGAAGAAACGUGAAUUCUACGAAUAGAAAGCGUGCCGAUCGAAAAUUACAUCUAAGAGAAUUCUGAACGGAGAAAAGCACGCUUUUGCGAGUACACUCAAGACGGCAAAAGAUACGAAUUAUUGGCCUCGAAGCCUUUCUAUAAACCAUACGGAGAAAGAGAACGUUAGUUGAAUGUGUACGUAACGAAAUGUUUGUGUAUGUGGUAGAAGAGACAUACGAAUUCACGCAAUAUGCGUAUAUACGUAUCGUUGAUCGAUUCUGAAUUUAUACUUUCUUGGAAUGAAAUGUAAAAUUGUUUCAAAUUUUAAUAGAGAUAUAAUAGCUACGGUUUCUAAAAGUUGACUUUAAUUGCAAGUUUUACAAAUUAGAAGAAAAGAUUUACUCUUUCGAAUAAAAUGUAAUUACUCAAAAAAAAAAUUUUACAGAUCUUAACGAAUUAAAUAAUUAAAUUCAAUUUUCUAAGGAAAAAGAAAAGUAAUUUCGAUUUCUAUCGAACGGUUAUUACCAGGACUUUCCCGCGUAAAUUACGAGACGAAAGUUAACUAGUCGAGCCCCUGUGAAUGGCGCCUUCUGAUUGGUCAUUGCGUACGGUUAAAACGUAAUCUAAGAACCAGUUCUUAUUGCGUCAGUCGCUAUUAUAACGAAUUUUUACAUACACAUAUAUCUAACGAGAAGCAUGUAAGAUGACUAAUUUGAUACUACUCAAUCCCAUUAUAUGAUCAUUAAAUAGCAAUUUGAUAUUAAAAUAUUUAUUAUAUUUAAUCCCGUAUCGAAGUUAUUAAAGUUUUUUCUUUCUUUUUUCUUUACAUAAAUUUUAUCUCAUAACUUUCGUCUCUUUAAGAAUGUAUGUGUUUCAUUUAAAGAAUUUACUUCUUAUAGUAUAUAUUCCUUAUCUUCUUAGUAUAUAUUUCUUCUCAACAAUAAACUUAUUAUCAAGUUAUCAGAUGCACGUGUCAUUCCUCGUGCCUUUCAUUCCAGCAACGAUUCGCGAUUUACGUCAUUUCGGCAUACGAACGUCAAGAAAUGAUAAUAGUAAAUGAUGAAGAGCCAAUAAAUAGAGUAAAGCGAGAGCACAUUCAAUUCUCUACUAAAGAUAGAGCAGAGGGCAGAAAGACAUUUUUUAAAAGAAAGGAUGAAAGGAUGACCGAACUUGCUAUAUAAAAGCAAUACCUACUGCUUUCGUCUCGGAAUGCGUUUAUAUUUAGUGAGUCAACGUGCUGGAAACGAAAGGAACGAAAGAGCAUUGUCGGAUUCAACCAAUGUAUUUUCAGCUGUCUAUAUUGUUCUAACAGGAUAUUCAACACAAUACAUCUGGUUUGAUAUUUUUUUCUUUGUUAAACGUAAGGAAAUUAAAAUCGAAAUGAAUAUUCGAAUGAAUUUUUGUUUUUUACUGAAAGGAAAAGCAUUUUUUCAAAUAGAAUUUAAGGUGAUAACAGAACGAAUUUUGGAGUACAUUAAACAGAGUCUAAAGUCUUCUUAUUGACUGAAUCAUAAAAAAAAGAAUGGAAAGAAUGUGGGCUUAAAAUCGACGUCAACGUUUCGAAGUUCACAAAUGUAAAUGAUUCUGAUUGUUUUACUAUAUCUAAAGAAAAGAGUGGGAGUGCAAAUGAAAAGACUAUCUAUCAUUGAAUCACUUUCUAUCUUUGGGAGAUCUUUAACAAGGAAUUAUUUCGUAGAUAAGAGAAAACAAGAAAGAGAGAGUGGAAAACGUACUUUAUUCACUGUUUAUCAUUUUUUAUGCUGACAUGAAAUAUUUAUGUAUAAAUCGUUCAUUUGUCAAAGUGAUUAACUACGCAAAAACAAAAAAUUAAAAAAAUUAAUAAAAUUAUAAAUGUA